rnacentral:rRNA from 1 species
UACGAAGGGGGCUAGCGUUGUUCGGAAUUACUGGGCGUAAAGGGCGCGUAGGCGGUUUUGUUAGUCAGGCGUGAAAGGCCCGGGCUCAACCUGGGGACUGCGCUUGAAACGGCAAGACUUGAAGACGGGAGAGGAUGGCGGAAUUCCCAGUGUAGAGGUGAAAUUCGUAGAUAUUGGGAAGAACACCGGUGGCGAAGGCGGCCAUCUGGCCCGUUCUUGACGCUGAGGCGCGAAAGCGUGGGGAGCAAACAGG